rnacentral:rRNA from 1 species
GACGAACCGUCCUAACGUUGUUCGGAAUCACUGGGCUUAAAGCGCGCGUAGGCGGCCCAGUAAGUCCGUUGUAAAAGUCAAAGGCUCAACCUUUGAAAGCCGAUGGAUACUGCUGGGCUAGAGUCCGGAAGAGGCGAGUGGAAUUCCUGGUGUAGCGGUGGAAUGCGCAGAUAUCGCUUGGAACGCCAACGGUGAAAACAGCUCGCUGGGGGUGUGCUGACGCUGAGACACGAAAGCCAGGGGAGCGAACGGG